rnacentral:rRNA from 1 species
UACGGGGGGAGCAAGCGUUGUUCGGAUUUACUGGGCGUAAAGGGCGCGUAGGCGGCGCGACAAGUCACUUGUGAAAUCUCCGGGCUUAACUCGGAGCGGCCAAGUGAUACUGUCGUGCUAGAGUGCGGAAGAGGCAACUGGAAUUCUCGGUGUAGCGGUGAAAUGCGUAGAUAUCGAGAGGAACACCUGCGGCGAAGGCGGGUUGCUGGGCUGAUACUGACGCUGAUGCGCGAAAGCCAGGGGAGCGAACGGG